AAAUCGUUUUGCUUUUUUGUGCAUCCUACUUUUUCUCCCUGCUCCUUGUUUUCCCCAACCUAGAAUCCUCAUCCUUUCCCCGAAUGAGAAAUCUGAAAUCCACAACCCAAAACUCACUCAUAGUAGCCCCUGCCUUGCCUCAUUCCUCAUAUCCUGAUGGUUCAUUCUCUCCAUUUGAUUCCAUUUCGGGCAUAAUAAUGGGAGUUGAGUAAUGGAGUUGCUGCCAUGCAAUGGAGUAUAGCAAGAGGCAGAGGACCUUUCACUCCAUCUCAAUGGAUGGAGCUAGAACACCAGGUCUACAAAUACAUCCUAAUGUGCCUAUCUUUUCCACUAUGCUCAUCCCAAUCAAGAAGGCCCUUAAUUCUACAUGAUUUUUGACAUUUUCAAAAGGAAUUCCCAAGCCCAAUUCAUGUAAUUUCUUCAUUUUACUCAAAGGAAAAUGAUUUCCACACACUGUUUUUUUUCUUAUGCACGUUUUUUCUUAUUUUGUUGCUUGAUUUUUGCUUGAUUUUAUUUAAUUCAAAAGCUAGAAAUAAAUCUAAAUUUUUCAUGCCUUCA